GGUGAGUAGGUGAGGAGGUGGGCGCGGCAGCGGCGGCGGCGCAGGGAGGCGCGACGGCAGCGGUGGCGGCGGCUACCCUAGGGUUGGAACGAAAGAACUGAUACCAUCUAGAGAGAUGAAUUGUAAUACGAUGAUUUCAUUAGGGGUGCUGGUGCACGUAUAUAUAAUACAAGGGAAGGCCUCUACCUCAACUAUACAAGACUAGGAGGUGGGCCACAAUUGUAAUACACAUGCAACACAAAUACAUAUUCAACACCAUGAAUGCUCCUUAUAGCAGUUUGCUGCCAUACAUUUAACUGUGUUUCCUUAUUUCAGUGUCAUGCAAUAUACCUUGAUGCUGAAUCUGGCCCUGAAUAGGACUUUUGUACUGCUAUAUGUAAUUGUGUGAGACCGAAAUCAGAUGAUGCACCAUGGAUGACUGAAUUAAUACGGAAGUGGGAGGCUGUGCUCUAGCAUGUGUGGUUCUUAUUAGCAAAUUUGGUUGCACUCGUUCACUCCGGAAGCAUGAGAGGAAGAGGAUGAAUGCGCCAUUGUUGCCAAGCACUGUGAGCGGCGCUGUUGUGUUUCGCUGUUUGGGCGAGGUGAUGGUGGGGGAUUUUUUGCUGGUCUAGCACUAGUCUUCCAAAGCAAGCCUCUUCUGACGCGGCACAACUCCGUCUGUACCGCCGGGGAGUUAACGACGAUCAACAUAAUGAAUGCAUCUAACUGUGGACCAUGUGACUGUGCAGUAGAUAGCUGUACAUUCAGCAUACGUCAGAGAAUACACCUCUUCACGCACAUCUCAGUGCAUCUGUUCGGUCAUGAAUUUAGGAUCAUCUGCAGCCUAGUCCCUUAGCCUACACAUUUGGGUAUCCUAACCCGAAUCCGAACCGAACCGAAUUAUCUGAAUUGUCAGGUAAUUCGGGUAUCAAGUUAAGGUUCAUUUCUUAUUUUUUGGCUGUUCGGGUUUCAGGUUAGGGUUCAAGUUUUAGUCUGAAAAUCUAAAAUAACCAUAUUAUCCGGGUUAUUCAUACUAAUCAAAGUAUUCAUGCUAUUAUUAUACUGACAUGUUACCCAUACUAACUAAAAUAGCCAGACUAUCCAAAAUAACCAUACUAUUCAAAUUAUUCAUACCAAACAUUGAUGUGUGCACCAAAUAUCUUUGGUGUACCCGAAUUAUCCGAAACAAAGUUUUAGGUAAUUUGGGUUCGGUUACUCUUUUUGCAGAAAAAAAUCCGGUUACCAUUUUUGAGUAUUCGAAUUACCCAUAACCCGAACUAUCCGAACCGAAGUAACCAAAAUACCCGAAAACUCAGGCUGACUAGUCCCAAAUGGAACAUCCGUUAACGAGAGUGAAAUGUUACUGAAAUAAUCAGGAGGUUUGUUUCUCCGUCCCAUGUGUUGGGGCCUGCUAUCUUCUUCAAUUACCAUCACAUCUACUGCGACCCAUGUCAUUGAGCACAUGAAAGAAAAAUGAAAAAAAGGAAUGCAUACCAACCUUUUCUCUCGUGAAUAAUGAUUUCAGGUCAUUGCCCUUUAUAUACACCACCAUAUCUUCAUGCUGGCGCGCAUAUUGCAACCUCCCUAUUUCCAUUUAUUUUCAUGGUGUUGGUAGAAUUUGCUUUUCUUAACAACACAGCUUAGUAUAUCAAAAUAGGUGAUAGUCACAUAUACAUAU
rnacentral:lncRNA from 1 species